GGCUCUAUUUAUAUCUGAUCUGCCUCAGCCACAGGGUCCAGACCUAACCAGUUACCACAGACCUUCACUAGGCUCUAUGGCUCUAUUUAUAUCUGAUCUGCCUCAGCCACAGGGUCCAGACCUAACCAGUUACCACAGACCUUCACUAGGCUCUAUGGCCUUCAUAACGGUGAAGUUUCAUCCCUACCGUUUAAAUUGACAUUGUCCUAAAUCUGAGGAGACAAAACUGCAGAGCAGGGAUUCACUUUUGACAGGUUAAGAUAACUGAGAUACAACUUUUUUUUGGAGCUACAUGUCCCUACACAAGUAAGAAUAGAGGUUAUCAAUAUUUUUCAGAGUAUUUCAAUUGAAAAUGAUCACAAUUAUUGGCAGAUUGAACUGCAUGUUAUAGGUGGUGUGACGAGGUUUAUAGUUUGAGGAGGGUCUGUGUGUUCAAGUUUUUUAACAGAGUCUUUUUUAUUGAAUUGUAUUUAAUUCAAGUCCAUGCACCCCAAAUGGCACCACACAGCUAAGGAACAGGGACUGGACUUCAGUAUGUCUGAUGAGUAAGCUGCAGCUACAGCAGCCUGUGGUGUUAGUGGGUCAGGUGGUCAGUCUGAGGUGGUGUUAGGGGGUCAGGUGAUCAGCCUGAGGUGGUGUUAGGGGGUCAGGUGAUCAGUCUGAGGUGGUGUUAGGGGGUCAGGUGAUCAGCCUGAGGUGGUGUUAGUGGGUCAGGUGAUCAGUCUGAGGUGGUGUUAGUGGGUCAGGUGAUCAGCCUGAGGUGGUGUUAGUGGGUCAGGUGAUCAGUCUGAGGUGGUGUUAGUGGGUCAGGUGAUCAGCCUGAGGUGGUGUUAGUGGGUCAGGUGAUCAGUCUGAGGUGGUGUUAGUGGGUCAGGUGAUCAGUCUGAGGUGGUGUUAGUGGGUCAGGUGAUCAGCCUGAGGUGGUGUUAGUGGGUCAGGUGAUCAGCCUGAGGUGGUGUCUAUGUGACAUGCUGUCUCCUCCAUUAAAAAACUCAUACUGUCUAUGUGACGUGCUGUCUCCUCCAUUAAAAAACUCAUACUGUCUAUGUGACGUGCUGUCUCCUCCAUUAAACUCAUACUGUCUAUGUGACGUGCUGUCUCCUCCAUUAAACUCAUACUGUCUUUGUGACGUGCUGUCUCCUCCAUUAAAAAACUCAUACUGUCUAUGUGACGUGCUGUCUCCUCCAUUAAAAAACUCAUACUGUCUAUGUGACGUGCUGUCUCCUCCAUUAAAAACUCAUACUGUCUUUGUGACGUGCUGUCUCCUCCAUUAAAAACUCAUACUGUCUUUGUGACAUGCUGUCUUCUCCAUUAAAAACUCAUACUGUCUUUGUGACAUGCUGUCUCCUCCAUUAAAAAACUCAUACUGUCUAUGUGACGUGCUGUCUCCUCCAUUAAAAAACUCAUACUGUCUAUGUGACGUGCUGUCUCCUC